GAAAGGAUGCAGGCAGCUGCAGGGCUGUCAUUAGGCACGAGAGCAUCCCAGAAAGCAAAAGUGCCCAAAAAAUGGACUCAGAUGCCCCCUCGCAUCUGAGUAUUCCUGACAGCAUGUGAACAUUAAUUAUUAAUUUUCUGUACCUCAGUUUUCCGAAGCCAAUCUUUAGGACAAAAAAAAAAAAAAAAAAAAGGAAGAAAAUAACUUAAAUGCCAAUUUGUAGUUAAAGUUUCCUCUUUGCCUUGAAGACAUCAAAGCCUGUAAUAGUUUGCCUGUAGGGAGUUUAAUUCAAACACAGAGCGGUAAGGAGAUCCGGGCUGGUCCACACGAUCGUCUCCACAGGUCUGGGCGACCUGAAAGUGCUGCGGAUUGGCCAAGCCCAGCACGGCCAGUCCAGUGAACACACGCAGGGGGCCCGGAUGGCACCGUUUGGCGCCGAACCCCUCGGCCUCUCUCCGCCUCCCGCCCGGCUCCUAACACCCGGCGCCCCAAGACUGAGCACGCGUCCUCCGGGUCGCGGAGCGGGCGAGGGGUCACCGAGGCCGCGGGGCCGACCGGGGUCACCUGUGGCCCGGGAGGCUCUGCGCCGCCCCCAUCCCGCGCCGGCCGCCUCUUCCGUGGGCGCUGGGCCUGGGCGCCCGGGGUCCUCGGGUCCGCGGCGUCACCGGCCGGGCUCGCGGCCACGCACGACUCACCCGGCCGCGUCGCCGUUCUCUGCCGCUGCGAGGCUCCGGAAGGGAACCCAAGCCGGACGCUCGCCCGGGCCCCCGCCCCGCUGGGACUGCUGGGGUCACAGCCCCGCGCGGCCACGCCCCAUUCUCGGGGCUCCAGCGUCCCCGCGCGCCGUCGACCCACGCGCGUUCCCGGCCCCGCGCGACCCCCACCCUGCCCCCCUCCCCGCUCGCGCCCCCGGCUUUCCCGACUUUGGAGCGACAAACCCAAGCCAGCGUGUCCGAGCGGCUCCCAAGCCAGACACGUACUCCAGAGCGGGGAGCGAGCGAGCAGAACGGCGGGCAGAGGCGCCGGAGCCGCCCCGGACCUCAAAUACUCGCGGGGAGGCGGGCGGAGUCCCGGGUCUCGAGCUACCGUCGCCCGUCCGGAGCGCGAAGGGAGAGGCGGGGCGGGACGUGCGGGUCAACCCCACCCGCCAGCCGGAGGGGCCGCGAGUCCUGCCCGGAGGCCUUGACUUUGACCACAGUACAGGGCCCCACCAGCGUGUUUAUGGUGCCUCUGUGGAGACUGAAUGCUGGCCUGUUUCCAGAAAAGGGCCGGCUCCUGAUACACGGCCAUCCACUGGGGAGUGCAGAACACGCAUUUAGGCGGGCGCGGGGCUCACGCCAGUAAUCCCAACACUGGGAGGCCGAGGCAGGCGGAUCACUGGAGGUCAGGAGUUCCAGACCAGCCUGGCCAACAUGGCAAAACCCCGUCUCUACUAAAAAUACAAAAAUUAGCCGAGUGUAAUGGCGCGUGCCUGUAAUCUCAGUUGCUGGGGAAGCUGAGGCAGGAGAAUCACUUGAACCCGGGAGGCAGAGGCUGCAGUGAGCCGAGAUGGCGCCACCGCACUCCAGUCUGGUCCGUCUCAAAAAAAAAAAAAAAAAAAAAAAAAAAAAAAGUAGACUAAAUAGCUUUUGCAAAGCAAAAGGAAUAGUCAAGCAGAGUAAACAGACAACCUACAGAGUGGGAGAAAAUCUUCACAAUCUAUACAUCCGACAAAGCAGUAAUAUCCAGAAUCUACAAGAAACUCAAACAAAUUAGCAAGAAAAAAAAAUCCCAUCAAAAAGUGGGCUGGCAUGAAUAGACAGUUCUCAAAAGAGGAUAUGCAAAUGGCCAACAAACAAGAAAAAAUGCUCAACAUCACUAAUGAUUAGGGAAAUGCAAAUCAAAACCACAAUGUGAUACCACCUUACUCCCGCAAGAGUGGCCUUAAUCAAAAAAUCAAAAACUCAAAAAAUAAUAGAUGUUGGCGUGGAUUU
rnacentral:lncRNA from 1 species